UACGUAGGGGGCGAGCGUUACCCGGAAUCACUGGGCGUAAAGGGAGCGUAGGUGGCCUGACAUGUCGACUGUGAAAACCCGGAGCUCAACUCCGGACUUGCAGUUGAAACUGCCAGGCUUGAGGACGGUAGAGGAAGACGGAACUGCCAGUGUAGGGGUAAAAUCCUUAGAUAUUGGCAGGAACGCCGGUGACGAAGGUGGUUUUCUGGGCCGGUUCUGACACUGAUGCUCGAAAGCCAGGGGAGCGAACGGGAUUAGAUACCCCUGUAGUCCCUGAGCGGGCU
rnacentral:rRNA from 1 species